UACGGGGGGGGCAAGCGUUGUUCGGAAUUACUGGGCGUAAAGGGCUCGUAGGCGGCCAACUAAGUCGGAUGUGAAAUCCCCAGGCUUAACCUGGGAACUGCAUCCGAUACUGGAUGGCUUGAAUCCGGGAGAGGGAUGCAGAAUUCCAGGUGUAGCGGUGAAAUGCGUAGAUAUCUGGAGGAAUACCGGUGGCGAAGGCGGCAUCCUGGACCGGCAUUGACGCUGAUGAGCGAAAGCUAGGGGAGCAAAUGGG
rnacentral:rRNA from 1 species